GAGGAUGCACAACUAUCAGCAUGCACAGAUAUUGAGGACUCGACAAGAAAACUAUCAUUCCCCCUAUUUUCAUCCAUUUUAGAAUACUCAGCUGUUCCAACAUUAAAGGAACAGAGAACAUUAUUUUUACCCAAUAUUGCAUUUGGAUAAACAACUGCAUCUACCUUUUCAAGAGUUGUAGAUGGAUGCACUGAACAAUUUCGAUGAUGGCUACCAUCUUUUUCAAUCAGUCUCUUCUUUUGAGCAGUUACUGGAUGAGCUUCAAG
rnacentral:misc_RNA from 1 species